rnacentral:lncRNA from 1 species
UAUAAGGUAAAGGGGAAUUCCAUUUGUGAGGUGAAAAUGAGCACGUGAUAGGAAAAAUGUAGUGAGAAAGUAUGGUUUGAGAAAAGUGAAAAAAUGUGGUUAAAAGAGUAUGUAGAUGAUAAAAAUGAAAGUAUGACCCUAGAGGAAUGCAACAAGUCGGGUACGGGGGUUGACUCCUAACUUUUCGACUUCUAUUUUCCCUUUGAUUAGAAGGCAAAACUAGCGUGCUAAGGCUAUCGAGUAGCCACACUCGCUCGUUUUCCUUAUCGGAAGGGGACUCUUCAGGCAAAUGUACCCUAACUAGCAUGAGAUGCAAGUCCUAAAGUGAAGGGGAAGGGGUUUGAGGAACAUACCAAAUGAUAAACUAAGGAAAAAUGCGUGAUAUGUGGUGAUCAUGCACUUCAUGAAAAAGGAAAAAAAAACCUAUUGGGUCUAGCAUUGGACUAGCCCCUCCUAUGAAUUCCGACUAGCGUUGGACUAGUGGAAACGAUAAAAGAAGCCACAACUAGCGU